rnacentral:rRNA from 1 species
UGAGUAACCUGCCCUUCACUCUGGGAUAACUCCGGGAAACCGGGGCUAAUACUGGAUAUGACUCGAACAGGCAUCUGUUUCGGGUGGAAAGAUUUAUUGGUGGAGGAUGGACUCGCGGCCUAUCAGCUUGUUGGUGAGGUAAUGGCUCACCAAGGCGACGACGGGUAGCCGGCCUGAGAGGGCGAUCCGGCCACACGUGGGACUGAGACACGGCCCAGACUCCGUACGGGAGCA